CUGGUAGUUCAGUUGGUUAGAACGCUAGCCUGUCACGCUAGAGGUCGUGGGUUCGAACCCCAUC
rnacentral:tRNA from 1 species